rnacentral:rRNA from 1 species
CCUACGGGAGGCAGCAGUGAGGAAUAUUGGUCAAUGGGCGGGAGCCUGAACCAGCCAAGUCGCGUGAGGGACGACGGUCCUAUGGAUUGUAAACCUCUUUUAUAUGGGAAUAAAAUGUUCCACGUGUGGGAUUUUGUAUGUACCAUAUGAAUAAGGAUCGGCUAACUCCGUGCCAGCAGCCGCGGUAAUACGGAGGAUCCGAGCGUUAUCCGGAUUUAUUGGGUUUAAAGGGAGCGUAGGUGGAUUGUUAAGUCAGUUGUGAAAGUUUGCGGCUCAACCGUAAAAUUGCAGUUGAAACUGGCAGUCUUGAGUACAGUAGAGGUGGGCGGAAUUCGUGGUGUAGCGGUGAAAUGCUUAGAUAUCACGAAGAACUCCGAUUGCGAAGGCAGCAUACCGGCGCCCUACUGACGCUGAGGCACGAAAGUGCGGGUAUCGAACAGGAUUAGAUACCCUGGUAGUC